rnacentral:rRNA from 1 species
UACGUAGGUGGCGAGUGUUGUCCGGAAUUACUGGGUGUAAAGGGAGCGUAGGCGGGAGUGCAAGUUGAAUGUUAAAUCUAUCGGCUCAACCGAUAAGCCGCGUUCAAAACUGCAUUUCUUGAGUGAAGUAGAGGUUGGCGGAAUUCCUAGUGUAGCGGUGAAAUGCGUAGAUAUUAGGAGGAACACCAGUGGCGAAGGCGGCCAACUGGGCUUUACUGACGCUGAGGCUCGAAAGCGUGGGGAGCAAACAGGAUUAGAUACCCUGGUAGUCCCU